CUUGUAGGGCACUAACAAAAGAAAUAAAAACACUUUUAUUAUGUAAUUUUCCUCAAGUUACCGUUUGAGACUAGUUAGAACGUGAUCGGUUCAGCCGUCACUGAGAUUUACUGAUAUCAUCAGAUCUCGUACAUAAAAAUUAUCGAUUCGCGUAAAGAGAGGUGGUUCGCUAACUUCGCUUGGACUUGGACCGCGCCUCUUGAUAAGAUGUUUUAUAAAGAUCUAUAAGAACGUAUCUCUGCAUUUACUCUCUUGUAAAAAAAAACGUAUGCUUCUGCUAAUAAAAUCUAAGUCAACAUAUCCUUUUAAUAUUUGUAGAAAGCUUGGCAAUUCCUUUCAACAAUCUAUUAAAUUAUCAUUACGUAUUCAGAGGAUCAUAAGUUAGGACGAGGAGACGGAAAAUGCGGUCGGAAUUGCAUGAGAUGUGACUAUAAGACGAGUAGGAACGAGGCCUAGAAUACAUCAAGACGUUGGCCAACGAUAACGACGACGACGAUGUUAUGUCACUAAUCGUGGAUACAUUCACUGACGACGAAAGAAGUUGAGAACGGUAUCACAACGUCUAGUACCGUAUUAAUCAGAUAGAUGCUUAAUUAAUUUCAUUGCUGACAUGAUCAAAAUAAAAGCAAUUUAAUAAAUUAGCACGCCGCGUAGAAAGCACAAUAUAUGUAAAAGAAACAUGCCUUUUUCAAAAAGAUCUUUGUUAAUAUUUAUUCGAAUAAAUACACAGUGUUAUCUAAAGAGGUUAUAAACGAAGAAAUAUUGAAAUUAUUAUUUGUCAUGAUCGGAAGGCAAGGAUAUUUUUUCAAUAAAAAUAUUUCAAAUAAUAUUUCUCUAUUCUCUAUAUUUAUAAUACUAAGCAUUUUAGCAUUGUUUGGUACAUAACCGACGUAAUAACUUACGCUGAAAAGACAGGAAAUCAAUGCUGUAAAACUAACUCUUACGUGCCAUUUCAUCAUUUUAAAGAUAAAGUCUCUUCACAAAAAAAUCAACACCCUUAAAAGUUUCCCCUCUUGAUCUGCAUACUUCGUCAAAAAUGAAAAAAAUGUAGGUAAAAGUGAAAAUGGCAUAUAUCUUCUUCAAAAAGUAAAAUAACAAGCCUUUUCUGGACAUAUUUUGAAGGUCAAUAUAAAGGGCUAUUUAUAAAAAAAAAUUGUUACUUAAUUUUAAAAUAGAAAAUCCAAUAUUAUAGACCAAAAUAUAAAAUUUUCUUACAUUUGAAUAAAUUUAUACUCUAAGAGUUUUUGGGAUUAUCAAUUGUGCAUCUGUAAUUAAACUUUCAAACUUCAAUAUGAAACAUAAAAAUAUUAAAUUUUGUUGAAUUUGAGUAAUAUUUUGGACAUCUAUAUUUGAUUCGCCAUUUUAAAUAUUAAAAUUUUGAUUAUAGAUUUAUAAUUACCCUAAAAACCUUUAAUAAGUUAAUCCAGUAUAUAAGGAAGAGUGAGGUAAGUCGAACCUAUUUUCAGUUAUUGCUUUCUAUAGGGCGCAAAUAAAGUUCGAGCGUAAAACUGAAGGUACCAUUGGAAAGAUAAUUUAAUUCUCUUUAUUUUUGCUUCGGACCAUUUUGAUGUAUCUCUCACUCGUAUUGAACGGAUAUAAUGGAAAAUAUAGAAACAUCAAAUAUAGAAACAUUGCGCUCAAAAUGGAACCAUUGCAUUAGUUCAAAAUCAGAUCAUCCCACGUUCCAAAUUGGAUACUCUAUUUUUGUUGACUUUUAGAUAGAAUUUUAAAAGAUUUUAAUGUAUUUUUUUGUAUUGAGUAAAAAUGAGCAAUUUGACAG